CGGGACACGUGGUAUCCUGUCUGAAUAUGGGGGGACCAUCCUCCAAGGCUAAAUACUCCUGACUGACCGAUAGUGAACCAGUACCGUGAGGGAAAGGCGAAAAGAACCCCGGCGAGGGGAGUGAAAAAGAACCUGAAACCGUGUACGUACAAGCAGUGGGAGCACGCUUAGGCGUGUGACUGCGUACCUUUUGUAUAAUGGGUCAGCGACUUAUAUUCUGUAGCAAGGUUAACCGAAUAGGGGAGCCGAAGGGAAACCGAGUCUUAACUGGGCGUUAAGUUGCAGGGUAUAGACCCGAAACCCGGUGAUCUAGCCAUGGGCAGGUUGAAGGUUGGGUAACACUAACUGGAGGACCGAACCGACUAAUGUUGAAAAAUUAGCGGAUGACUUGUGGCUGGGGGUGAAAGGCCAAUCAAACCGGGAGAUAGCUGGUUCUCCCCGAAAGCUAUUUAGGUAGCGCCUCGUGAAUUCAUCUCCGGGGGUAGAGCACUGUUUCGGCAAGGGGGUCAUCCCGACUUACCAACCCGAUGCAAACUGCGAAUACCGGAGAAUGUUAUCACGGGAGACACACGGCGGGUGCUAACGUCCGUCGUGAAGAGGGAAACAACCCAGACCGCCAGCUAAGGUCCCAAAGUCAUGGUUAAGUGGGAAACGAUGUGGGAAGGCCCAGACAGCCAGGAUGUUGGCUUAGAAGCAGCCAUCAUUUAAAGAAAGCGUAAUAGCUCACUGGUCGAGUCGGCCUGCGCGGAAGAUGUAACGGGGCUAAACCAUGCACCGAAGCUGCGGCAGCGACGCUGAUGCGUUGUUGGGUAGGGGAGCGUUCUGUAAGCCUGUGAAGGUGUGCUGUGAGGCAUGCUGGAGGUAUCAGAAGUGCGAAUGCUGACAUAAGUAACGAUAAAGCGGGUGAAAAGCCCGCUCGCCGGAAGACCAAGGGUUCCUGUCCAACGUUAAUCGGGGCAGGGUGAGUCGACCCCUAAGGCGAGGCCGAAAGGCGUAGUCGAUGGGAAACAGGUUAAUAUUCCUGUACUUGGUGUUACUGCGAAGGGGGGACGGAGAAGGCUAUGUUGGCCGGGCGACGGUUGUCCCGGUUUAAGCGUGUAGGCUGGUUUUCCAGGCAAAUCCGGAAAAUCAAGGCUGAGGCGUGAUGACGAGGCACUACGGUGCUGAAGCAACAAAUGCCCUGCUUCCAGGAAAAGCCUCUAAGCAUCAGGUAACAUCAAAUCGUACCCCAAACCGACACAGGUGGUCAGGUAGAGAAUACCAAGGCGCUUGAGAGAACUCGGGUGAAGGAACUAGGCAAAAUGGUGCCGUAACUUCGGGAGAAGGCACGCUGAUAUGUAGGUGAAGCGACUUGCUCGUGGAGCUGAAAUCAGUCG
rnacentral:rRNA from 1 species